rnacentral:misc_RNA from 1 species
UUGUGGAGGAGGACGCCGAAGGUGGGGCUGAUGACUGGGGUGAAGUCGUAACAAGGUAGCCGUACCGGAAGGUGCGGCUGGAUCACCUCUAACAGGGAGACAAAACUGAUCGUGAUGUCUAAGUAAAUUAUUCUUAGGCCAUGAUCCUGUCACCUUAGGUCGAUCGGUACCUCUGAUUAAUAAGCAAAUUAGGAGAUGAUUAAAUAAGUUUCCUUCUUUGUAAUUGAUUUCAGUUCCUAAACUUGUCUAGGUCACACCCCGCAAGUGUUACUCCUGGGCCAUUAGCUCAGGUGGUUAGAGCGCACCCCUGAUAAGGGUGAGGUCCCUGGUUCAAGUCCAGGAUGGCCCAUUCGGUGUUGGGGGUUUAGCUCAGUUGGUAGAGCGCCUGCUUUGCAAGCAGGAUGUCAGCGGUUCGAGUCCGCUAACCUCCACUGGCCAACCUCCUGCAGCGUGCCAAUUUGAGAACUAUUGCGUGGAUGUGAUUUGGAUUUUCAGCUGAAGGAACCUAGCUUCCUAUCAUUCCAUCUCUAAACAUUGAGAAGGCUGACAGGAUGCUGGGCUCAUUGUAUUUCUUUCGAAUUACACUAAAUUCAGCAGAACCUUGACAACUGCAUAGGUGAGUCUGGAAAAGAAUAAAGCAUCUCAUGGAUGCAUUGUUCUAUUGAUAAAGAUGUUGAAUUCUAAGAAAUUAGAACAAUAUUUUUCUUUAGAAUAAUGUUUAAUUCUUGAGCAAGAGUCGAGACUCUAUAGUUUACUUUUAACACUAUUAAUGUGUUAAAAAAUCGUGUAAAAUACGAAACUAAAUUAUAGAGUAAAAUGGUCAAGCUACAA